GUAAAACAAAGAGGACCUAAUUGUAGAUGUACUGCUCGUCUUCAAUGUGUUUUUCUGUAUUCUAAUUUACAUUGAGUCCAUCAUGUUCUUUGUGUUGUGUUCCGCCAUGUUCCAAGUUCUCAAGGACAAACUAUAUGUAUAAAUAUUGACGAAAUAAAAAAAUUGAAUCAGUGUGGUUGCUCAAUCUAAGGGCGGAAGAAGCAUCUUUUUAAUACUGUUCUACAUUACAACUAUUUUGUUUAAAUAUAAAAUGUUUGCUAAGUUGAUUAUCCUCUUCACUAUUGUUGCCCUGGCAAUGGCUCGGCCACAGCUAUACACUGGGUAUGGCUAUAACAAUUACCCGGCUUCCUAUCCAGGAUAUGCUGGCUAUUCCGGCUAUUCCAAUCCGGUAGCUUACUCUGGAUAUGGAGGAUAUUCGGGCUACCCAUACAACUACGGUUAUGGAUAUUACUAACUGAACAUAUAAAAAUAAAUCUUAUUUAAUUCUAAUUCCAUUGUUAACUUUGAUGUAAAAUACAGAUUCCACCUUUUUGCUUUUCUUGUCUUGUUUUUUAUGAAUUAAAUAAAAAUGUAUUUAAUCAUA